rnacentral:misc_RNA from 1 species
CUCAAAUAUUGAGGCUAAUUAACCAUACUCAGUAAAUAAAUACAUUUUUUUCUUUUUAGUCUCAUAAAAGUAUAGCUAAACAUGGCAGGAUCUAAGGUUAUACUGACUCUUCUGUUUAUUGGCUUAGUUGCCUCAACGCAUGCAGCCACUAUCUACCGUAUUUCUGUAUCUGCUAUCAAAAUUUACUUAGAUCCUGAAGAUGGUUCACCGAUUAUUGAACUCAGUGCACCUAAAACUAAUAAUGCAGAUAUAAACGAAGUUCGUGGGCCGGGAUAAAGUCUGACAGAUAAAAAUCAGCCGUCAAAAAUAAAUAUAUAUAUUAAAAAUACGAAGCUGUAAUUACGACACUUAAUUCUAUUCAGAAUGACAAUAAUUGUACUUAAUCCGAUUUUCUGUAAAGAAAACACUUAUUUCAUUUAGUUUGACGGUUUUAUAUUUUAUAUAUAUGAAAAAAUUAUAAUUUGACAAGACAAUCUUAUGCCUAUCAUUUAUAUAACUUUUUAUCUUUAAUUUAUAUAUUAAUACGUAAA